CUGGAAAAGUUCCAUGAGAAUGUUUGAAAGAAAACCUUCCCCACCAAAAAAAAUGUUUCUUUUUGAUACUUUUGCAGAAAAUAUGAAGUCACGAGCACAAGCCGCAAUUCACAAAAACCCCAAACCCAUUCAUUCUAUUCAUUAUUUUGGAAAUGGAAAGGUCCAAAAUCUCUUUCCCUGGACAGAAGGAUGCGUUCUCCUUUUCACCCAUCGACUACAACCCAUUGAAUUUGAUUGCUUUGGCCACUCUCACUCUUUGUUGCUGGCUCCUUGCCUAGCUUCUGGAAUACACAGCCCUGCUUGUAUAUGUGCCAAGUUCACUGUCACAGACCAGUGGAACUCACCAGUAUCGUCCACACAAUGUGAAAGUCUGUAUCCUCUGCUAGGUAAGUGGUGCCUGAAGAGGGCCUAAUAUGGAAAGAGAGGACCACAAAAUCAAAGUGAGAGUUAAAGGAGCUCGGUUUUAUCAAAUGGGUAUUAAAAGCCAACAAACAUGGUAAAUACCUUAUUUCUCCCCCUGCUCCUCCCCCCAAAAAAACCUAAAAGGAAAAGAUUUCACAUGAAGAAAAAGAGACCAACAAAAAUCUAAUGCUUCCCAAAAUUAUUGUUAUAGGAAGUUUAUAUUGAGAUGUGUCAGGACUCCCCCCACUUACCAUGCCUCGCUCCGGAUUUUUAAAAAAACAGCCAGUGGACACCCAAUGUGUGAGUGUCAGCUGCUCUCAGCCUGUUGACACCUGCUUCAGGCACUAUUGGUUCAAGCUGUCCACAGAUAUGUAAACUGACCCGGUUUUCUUAAUAGAGUUGAUUCUGACACCUAGAGUCAUCACUGCUAUUUCAUUAAUGAUCAUAUUUACAGAAUCAUCCAGCUAGUCUGUUUAUCCAUCACUUUGUGAAGAAAUGAGUAGUGGGGCAUGAGCAGCUGGGUACCUGCAAGGACUGAUGGAGAUAAAGGAGGAGUUCAAAAUUUAAAGGAACCUCUGCCCCUCACCUCUAGGGGGGAAGAAUGGUCACAACCUCCUGACAUCUGUUUGUGACACUCCCAGAUGUCAUGACCCUCCAGGCUGAAGACCCCUGUUCUAGAGGGGAAGCAAGUUUUAUUUAGAGAUGAAAUGUUGCUUUAUAUGAUGGUCAGUUUUGAAUGUGUGAAAGGGACAAUCACAAUAGCUUAUUUUCUAGAAUACAUACAGUUGCAUGAGAAAAAGUAGGUUUCUCCAGGAAUAAUCGUCACUGUUAUUACUAUUGCUACUGCAGUGGAGCUGGGAAUCAGGGACCUACUAUUUAA
rnacentral:lncRNA from 1 species